rnacentral:misc_RNA from 1 species
AAAGUCGUAACAAGGUUUCCGUAGGUGAACCUGCGGAAGGAUCAUUAUUGAGUAAAUUGGAAGAGUAUUUUAGUUUUAGUCUUCAUGGCUUUUACUAAUUGCUCUUCCUACCUUCUCUUCUCUCUCCUGUUAUUAUUCUCUUAGUUGCUUUGGCAGAUUGACUUUAAAGCCUUGUGUUUUUGGUCUCUGCCAGAGGAUACAUAUUCAAGACACUUUUGUUUUUUUUUUAACAAUAGGUACUAUCUAAGUCAGAUAUAGUUAUUUCUUUAAUAAGAUAUAAAACUUUCAACAACGGAUCUCUUGGUUCUG